UACAGAGGUGGCAAGCGUUGUUCGGAAUUACUGGGCGUAAAGGGCGCGUAGGUGGCUCUCUCAGUCAGACGUGAAAUCCCCAGGCUUAACCUGGGAACUGCGUCUGAUACUGGCAGGCUUGAAUCCGGGAGAGGGAUGUGGAAUUCCAGGUGUAGCGGUGAAAUGCGUAGAUAUCUGGAGGAACACCGGUGGCGAAGGCGGCAUCCUGGACCGGUAUUGACGCUGAGGUGCGAAAGCGUGGGGAGCAAACAGG
rnacentral:rRNA from 1 species